UCCCUGGUGGUCCAGUGGCUAAGGCUCUGCCCUCUCAAUGCAGAGGGCCCAGGUUUGAUCCCUGGUCAGGGAG